rnacentral:rRNA from 1 species
GUGCAGCAGGCGCGAAACUUUACAAUGUGCGAAAGCACGAUAAGGGAACUCUGAGUGCCUCCUAAGGAGGCUGUUCAGGUGUCUAAAAGCACCUGAAGGAAGGGCUGGGUAAGACCGGUGCCAGCCGCCGCGGUAACACCGGCAGCCCAAGUGGUAGCCACGUUUAUUGGGUCUAAAGCGUCCGUAGCCGGCUGGGUAAGUUCCUUGGGAAAUUUGGCUGCUUAACAGUCAAGCUUUCAGGGAAUACUGCCCGGCUUGGGACCGGGAGAGGUCAGAGGUACUCCAGGGGUAGGGGUGAAAUCCAUUAAUCCUUGGGGGACCACCGGUAGCGAAGGCGUCUGACCAGACCGGGUCCGACGGUGGGGGACGAAGGCUA